rnacentral:lncRNA from 1 species
GAAACUUUCCAGCAGAAACUCAACCUCAGAGCUAUUCAGAAGCGUCUGAAGGAGAAAAUCCGUCACUCGGCUAGUCAAUCCGAGAAUCUCUGGCAGAAGUUCACCGAAGGAAAACUUUUGCUCACAGACUUCGUUGAAUUGCUUCAAAACGCUCAGGCAUUGUGCCAUCGACGCCUUCUUCAAGCUGAAAAGAUCCACAAUCUCAUCAUACACGCACAAAUGUACCAUCAAAACGCUGAUUUUUCGAACGGUUUCCCUCAUCUAUCGACCACAAUCAAUGUUUUCAGUGGUGUGUCUCCAGUGUUUUUGCUGCCUGGUUUCCAGUCUCCUCAUUUUUCUUCAACAUUAUUUCUUCCUCCUCUAAAGCAUCAUACAUUUGGAUUCCCGACUCUGCCAUCCCAAAAUGAAUUGAGCCACAAACAAGAUGUGUGUAAAUGCAGCGACCAGUGGCCACAAAGACAUGCUGCUUUACAGCCACUAGACAGGAAUCAACCAAACACCCCACUAAAAGAGUACUGAUACCAUGGGACUAUAAAAACAAGUUAUACAUGUUUCUGGUAAACCACUAUAAACAGAGAUGGUCAUUUGCAAAUUUUCACAUUUUUUUCUGGAUUUAUAAUUUAUAAUUAUGUGUUUGAGUAAAAUAUUGUUUUAUACUGUAAAUACUGAUGACUCCUCUUCCAUAUGGCCUAUGCUGUAUAUUAGAUAUGUUCAGAAAACAUAAUACCAACAUUUUAACACAAGA